UAAGAAUUGAUCUCAAUAUUAUCUGAAGACAUGUUAUAACCGAGAAAAAUAUUGAAGACGUUUGCCGUACAUGUGUGUACCUCAAAGUUUCAGACAGACAGAAUCACUUUACACAAGAGGUCGAAGGCCAUGGAACUAGUAAUUUACAUCUUUUGUAUAAUGGUCGCUUUCGUGUUUUCCGGACGGCCAGCUCUACAGACAGAGAAAUCUGUUCUUGAGCUAUUUCCAGAUUACGUUAGUUUGAAACAAGACUAUCAAGAUUUGAAACAAGACUAUCAAGAUUUUAAACAAGACAAUCAGGAUAUCAAGGCUGAAUUAGCAGCCAUUAAAUCUAGGCAGAAUGAAAGAGGUACUACAUACAUCAGAUGGUCAAGAAAACGAUGUCCUAAUAAUGGAUAUACGGAGCUUGUGUACUCAGGGUAUGCAGGAGGUGGAGAGUGGAUCAGUCAGGCUCAGCACCAGAAUCAGUCUGUCUACCAUCAGACCCUGAUUUUGUCAAGACAAGUAAUGCUGGUGUUGUUGGUGGUGGUUAUAUGUUUGGAACAAAAUUUGAUUAUAAUUUUGCUCCAAAUAGUAAUAAUAGGAACUUACCAUGUGCUGUAUGUAGAGUGAAACAGGCAUCCACUGUUAUAAUGAUACCAGGGAAAAACAGAUGCUAUACAGGUUGGAACAUGGAGUACCAUGGUUAUCUGGCUUCAAAUUACUAUAACGCUGCUGCAGCUGGAUCAUAUGUCUGUAUUGAUAUACAGCCUGAAUAUCUCAAUGGGGGAGCAAUAAAUGUCAGCCAAGGUAAAAAAUUCCAUGAAGUUGUUGCCAAAUGUGGAUCACUACUUUGUCCUCCGUACAAAGAGGAUUAUUCACUUACUUGUGUUGUUUGUUCAAAAUAAAUGUUAAUAAAUGAUAUUUCAUGAUAUAAUCAAUCCAAAUACAAUGUUAUUUUAAAAAUAGUUUUUAAUAGAUAACCAAGUGGUGAGUCCAGGUUUUUGAAAAAGAGGGCACGGAGGAUCGAGCACCGUCGAAAAUAAGGGUCGGGGCGGCAAUAAAGUAUCAGAGAAAAAUUUACAAAUACACCAAAUGUUCGAAUCGAAGGGGCCAUUCUAAUCUCCACACUGGAUUCCUGGUAAGAGGGUCUGAAUUGGAAUUCUCGAAUAGAGAAUAAUGAGCAAAAAUUUGCAAAAUAAAGGUUAAAAAAAUAGAGAAAAGAGAAAACGAGUUAGAAAUAAAUAAAGAAUAGAGACAAAAAUGGCAAAAAAAGAGAAUAAAGGGCAAAAUGAAUAAGGAAAGAGAAAAACGGUCUAAAAAAUUAAAGAAUAGAGAAAUGAAUUACACCCAUCUUGACCCCUUGGUAAAUUAAAUAGAAUCUUGCACAUUGUACAUCAAUUUGAACCAUAAAAAGACAUCUUGAGGUCUUUAUGUGGUCGUCAAUGAGUAAGAUUAGCUAUGUAUGCAUAAACGAUAUCUUUGACAUGUAAUCUCGUAUUUGGAUGUAAAAUUAAUUUUCCCCUGUAAAAACCUGUGCCAUUAAUAGCCAACACCUAGCGUGUGUCGUGCAAACAAGUGGUGAUCACAUUUUUAGCAAGAGCACAAAAAAUAACUGAACAUUUAAAUAAAUCCAAUAAAAGCGAACACAUUGAUUUGGCAUUGCUUAAAGUUCAGCUUAUUUCAUCCAAGGGUGGUGGAGUCGAGCUGAUCUCGUUUUCAUAGAAAAUAUUUGGGUAAUGGUAUUUAUGUUUCUUUUUCUUAUUUUUAUUGACUAUUGUAUCUUUCGUUUGUUUAUUUUUUUUUUUUAAUUACCCCCAUUUAGAUCAUCAAUUUUCAUUUUGAAUAAUCAGUUUUGUCUUUUUAUUUUGUUUGAUAGUCUUUUCUUAUGUGUUGAGUGUGACACAUUAUUUUUUUACUAAAUUUUAUAUUCAAAACUAUCUAAUUAUGUAGAUUGCUUAACAGUUUAUUAACGUGUACAUAUUCAAUGUAUGUCAUAAAAUGAUCUCGAACUUCACAAUGCAUUUUAAAAUGUCCGAAAUAUUUGUGGUUACAUCUGCAACCUGUUAGAUUAUAAAUUUAUAUUUGUCAAUACUUAUGGUCAAGAUUGAACUUAAAUCUUACGGUUAUUCAACAUUUAUUUGAUCAAUUAUCUUUAUGUUCAAUACAUACGUGUGUAAAUAAUUCUCUUUGAUAAACGGAAUCAAUCUGUUAUCUAAUUUCUGUUGACAAAAUGACAAUUUUACAAACUUUGUUGUUAGCAACGUUAUUUGGUAUUUAAAGAAAGUUAAAUUAUUAUUCGGGGACUCCGUUUGGAUAUGCCAACGAGAGCAUAUACGAACUGCGUUAAGAUGCGCAAGCAGAUGUAUUUUCUUUUGAUUUAAAAUUACUGAUUUGUAAUGAUGUUUCAUUCUAUAUGUUUGCUCUAUUUAUUAAAAGAAUUUAGACUU